rnacentral:rRNA from 1 species
UUAAUGAGAGUUUGAUCCUGGCUCAGGACGAACGCUGGCGGCGUGCCUAAUACAUGCAAGUAGAACGCUGAGGACUGGUGCUUGCACCGGUCCAAGGAGUUGCGAACGGGUGAGUAACGCGUAGGUAACCUACCUCAUAGCGGGGGAUAACUAUUGGAAACGAUAGCUAAUACCGCAUAAAAGUGUUUAACCCAUGUUAAACAUUUAAAAGGUGCAACUGCAUCACUAUGAGAUGGACCUGCGUUGUAUUAGCUAGUUGGUGAGGUAACGGCUCACCAAGGCGACGAUACAUAGCCGACCUGAGAGGGUGAUCGGCCACACUGGGACUGAGACACGGCCCAGACUCCUACGGGAGGCAGCAGUAGGGAAUCUUCGGCAAUGGACGGAAGUCUGACCGAGCAACGCCGCGUGAGUGAAGAAGGUUUUCGGAUCGUAAAGCUCUGUUGUUAGAGAAGAAUGAUGGUGGGAGUGGAAAAUCCACCAUGUGACGGUAACUAACCAGAAAGGGACGGCUAACUACGUGCCAGCAGCCGCGGUAAUACGUAGGUCCCGAGCGUUGUCCGGAUUUAUUGGGCGUAAAGCGAGCGCAGGCGGUUCUUUAAGUCUGAAGUUAAAGGCAGUGGCUCAACCAUUGUACGCUUUGGAAACUGGAGAACUUGAGUGCAGAAGGGGAGAGUGGAAUUCCAUGUGUAGCGGUGAAAUGCGUAGAUAUAUGGAGGAACACCGGUGGCGAAAGCGGCUCUCUGGUCUGUAACUGACGCUGAGGCUC